UGCUCCUUGUUUUCUUACAUAGGGAGUCGGACCUGCUCGGUGAAUAUAUUUUAACAGCCGCGGUACUCUGACCGUGCAAAGGUAGCAUAAUCAUUUGCCUUAUAAUUGAAGGCUAGUAUGAAUGGUUUGACGAGAAUUAAGCUGUCUCUUUUUAACUAAAUAUAACUUUAUUAAGAGGUGAAGAAGCCUGUAUUUUAUUGAAAGACAAGAAGACCCUAUCGAGCUUUAAAGAAUUUAGUAGAUUUACCAUAUAUUAAUAAAAAAGUAAAGCAACUAAAUAUUUUGGUUGGGGCGACUGAGGAACAAACAAAGCUUCCUUUAUGCUAAUUAAAACUUACAAGUAUUGAUCCAAUUUAUUUGAUUAAAGGAAUUAGUUACCGUAGGGAUAACAGCAUAAUCUCCUUUGAGAGUUCUCAUCGAAAAGGGGGUUUGUGACCUCGAUGUUGGACCAGAAUACCCAGAAGAUGCAGCCGUCUUCAAUGGUUGGUCUGUUCGACCAUUAAAAUUCUACGUGAUCUGAGUUCAGACCGGCGUGAGCCAGGUCAGUUUCUAUCUUCAAUUUUUAUAGUGGCCUUAGUACGAAAGGACCAGGCUACUGCAAAACAAUUUGUAGUCUUCUGAUUAAAUAUAAAUAAUAAUUAAGCCUUUAGCUAUCAAAUUAGCAAAGAUUAAUGCAAUUGACUUAGGAUCAAUAGACAUAGGUGGAAUCCCUUUAUUUGAUAUAUAAAGAUGGCAGAAAAA
rnacentral:rRNA from 1 species